rnacentral:rRNA from 1 species
GAGUGAUGAAGGUUUUCGGAUCGUAAAACUCUGUUGUUAGGGAAGAACAAGUACCGGAGUAACUGCCGGUACCUUGACGGUACCUAACCAGAAAGCCACGGCUAACUACGUGCCAGCAGCCGCGGUAAUACGUAGGUGGCAAGCGUUGUCCGGAAUUAUUGGGCGUAAAGCGCGCGCAGGCGGUUCCUUAAGUCUGAUGUGAAAGCCCCCGGCUCAACCGGGGAGGGUCAUUGGAAACUGGGGAACUUGAGUGCAGAAGAGAAGAGUGGAAUUCCACGUGUAGCGGUGAAAUGCGUAGAGAUGUGGAGGAACACCAGUGGCGAAGGCGACUCUUUGGUCUGUAACUGACGCUGAGGCGCGAAAGCGUGGGGAGCAAACAGGAUUA